rnacentral:lncRNA from 1 species
GUGCCGAGAUGGGGAGGGAAUAGGGAGAGGAUGGGGCGAAAAUUGGGGAGAAAAAGAGAGAAGGAAGUGUGAAAAUUGGGGAAAAUUGGGGAGAGAAACGAGGAGAAAAUGUGGGAGAAAUUGAGAGAAAAUUGGGGAGAAAACGUGAGGAAAGUGGAGAGUGGGGGAAAAUUUGGGGAAAAAAUUGGGGAAAAAAAGAGAGAAGAAACUGCGAAAAUUGGGGUAAAAAUGAGGAAAAUCGGGGAGAGAAAUGAGGAAAAAGGGGGAAAAAUGUGGGAGAAAUUGAGAAAAAAUUGUGGGAAAAUUGGGGAGAAAACGUGAGAAAAUUGGGAAGGAAAUGGAAAAAGAUGGUAGGAAAAUGAGGAGGGAAAUUAAGGAAAAGUGGGAUGAGAAUGAGGAAAAAUGCAGAAAAAAUGGGGGGAAAAUGGGAGAGAAAAUGGGGAGAAAUGGGGAAGAAAUUGGAGAAAAAAUGGGGAGAAAAAAU